CCACUCCUUCCCAUCCCGAACAGGACAGUGAAACGACUCAGCGCCGAUGAUAGUGCGGGUUCCCGUGUGAAAGUAGGUCAUCGUCAGGC
rnacentral:rRNA from 1 species